AACGAACGCUGGCGGCAGGCUUAACACAUGCAAGUCGAGCGCCCCGCAAGGGGAGCGGCAGACGGGUGAGUAACGCGUGGGAAUCUACCCAGCUCUACGGAACAACUCCGGGAAACUGGAGCUAAUACCGUAUACGUCCUUCGGGAGAAAGAUUUAUCGGAGUUGGAUGAGCCCGCGUUGGAUUAGCUAGUUGGUGGGGUAAUGGCCUACCAAGGCGACGAUCCAUAGCUGGUCUGAGAGGGUGAUCAGCCACACUGGGACUGAGACACGGCCCAGACUCCUACGGGAGGCAGCAGUGGGGAAUAUUGGACAAUGGGCGAAAGCCUGAUCCAGCCAUGCCGCGUGAGUGAUGAAGGCCCUAGGGUUGUAAAGCUCUUUCACCGGUGAAGAUAAUGACGGUAACCGGAGAAGAAGCCCCGGCUAACUUCGUGCCAGCAGCCGCCGCGGUAA
rnacentral:rRNA from 1 species